GAACUCAAUAGUGUGGAUGCCUCCAGCAUCCACACAAUAAUAAUAAAUCCGAGGAAUAGUAAUAUGUGUGCCUCUUGGCAUAGGCACACAUAAUAAUAAUAAAUCCGACGAAUAGUAAUAUGUGUGCCUCUUGGCAUAGGCACACAUAAUAAUAAUAAAUCCGACGAAUAGUAAUAUGUGUGCCUCUUGGCAUAGGCACACAUAAUAAUAAUAAUAAUAAUAAUAAUAAUAAAUCCGACGAAUAGUAAUAUGUGUGCCUCUUGGCAUAGGCACACAUAAUAAUAAUAAUAAUAAAUCCGACGAAUAGUAAUAUGUGUGCCUCUUGGCAUAGGCACACAUAAUUUUGACCCUAUUUUUCUUCCUUUAAGCUGAUUGGUCAAUGUCAUGUCAAUCACAAAUUAAACAAUCCAAUCAGAGAACAGAUGGGUUUGGCUGUGGGGGGGUUGCUUUACGGACCUUCAGGUCCUGGAAGGGUAACACAGUUUGAAGAUGGAGGACGGCGGUGGCGCUUCUGCGGCGCAGGUGACUGUAAAUCAAGUGGACCUUGGUCUAUCUCCCUCCAGAACAGAGAACCUGGGAUGUACCUGUGACUCUUUGGUGGCUUUAGGAAGACAUGUUUUCCAAAACCUUCAAAAUAGGCUGGUGCAGUCCUACCAACAGCAGCCCUUGGACCUUGAUCAUAUUGAGUUCCUCUGCGUGAACGCAUCAACUCUAGUCUGUUCUCUUUCUGCUCAUAUUAAUGUUCCAUCACUGGUAGUUGAAGCUCUUCACCACCUCAUCUGCCUCAUCCAUUCCAAUAUGGAUGCAAGAAGGUCUGCCAUUGUUGUUGACAGCUCAGCUGGUGAACGGGGGAGGGCAAAGCUCUAUGUUUCCAAAGACCACCUCAAAGAUCUAAUACAGAUGGACCUCUCCAUUCCUUGUAUCUCCAAGCUUUUGGGCAUAUCGCAGAAAACAGUCCGACGAAGAAUGGAAGAGUGGGGCCUCUCAAUAACGGCAACCUACAGCUCACUAUCAGAUGAUGAACUUGACAACUUAAUUGCAGCCAUAAAACAGGAAUCGAAAGAUCUGGAUAUGGACUUGUGAUGUUUGGUGGUGUUGAUGGCUUCUCAAGGAAGGUUUGCAUUCUUCACUAAAAUAGCAGAAAAUGUGAUGCUAGUAAUAGUACUUCCAUAAUGUCUCUUUAUUUUCAGAUCUUGUACUUGAAAGCAGCUAAGAACAACAAGGCUUCUACAGCACUGACGUUCUUCCUUGAGGCUGUACAGAAGCAUGGAUUUCCAUCGAGGUAUAAUGCAAAAACUUGCUGUUCACAUUAGAUUAUAGAGGCUUAAAUCAGUCUCACUUCAAUUUUGAAUACACAUUCGUGCCUGACACACAUGCUUGCUGUCUGGAAAUGAUUGAAUUUUACCAUAAUUUGUAUUCUAUUUGCAGAGAAAUACUACAAUAAUAAUAAUAAUAAUAAUACUAAUAAUACGUUUUAUAACACCUUAAGGUUAUCUUACAAUAGCACAAGAACAAUAGCAACAAUUCAAUAUAUUGAAACAUUGCAAAUAAAAUUUAGACAUAAGUUAAAGAAGAAAAAAGCAAGCAUGACAGUAUAAAAGCUGAGCAAGUUAAAAUGGACUAAUACAGAAUCAGGUGUAUGCAAUUCUGAAUAGAUGGGUUUUGAGUAGUGACUUAAAAGUGGUGAAAGAGUUUGUGGUCCGGAGAUCUGGUGGAGGUACAUUCAAAGUCUUGGGGGAGAACAACUAAAGGCUCUGAGUCCCAUUGUAGUUAGGCAAGCAUGUGGAACAGACAGAAGGGAAGCUGAAGAAGAGCGAAGUGUAUGAGUGGGCGAGUACAAAUGUGGUACAAAUGUAGAAGAUCAGAUAGAUAUGGACGAAUAUGUCAAAUUAGUGUCAGCUGUUUCCCAUGUGUUUUCAUUUCCUCUAAUCACACUUGUGUGUAUUUAGUCUGUGUGUUUCUGUUCAUUCUUUGUCAUGUUGUCUGUUGUCGUUUGUGCCAUGUUUCCAUGUGUCUCUGCUUCUACGCUCCAGGUUUCAGGUAUCUUUGUAUCCACGGCGAGUUUCAUGUUUUGGUUUUUAUGUUUAUCUUUAGUCUGCCCAGUUUAGCUUCAUCUCUGCCUUUUCUUUUGUAUAGUUUUUACCAGCCUUAAGAAACGCCUUGCUUUCUGUUAACAUUCAAGUUUUGUUCCACAUUCCAUUUUUCUCUGCACUUGGGUCCACUAUUCAUACUUCACACAGUAAGCUGCUCAGCCAGACUGUGACAGAACAACCAUUUCACUGACUUUGCAAGUUAACAUUGCUAGUUGUGCAUUGUACUUUUGGGGAAAAUAUUUACAAAUAUAGCUCUGCAUAAGAGCUCAAAGAGCCCUAAAAAUAUUAUACAGUUGAAUGUAAAACAUUCACAUUUUUCUUUAAAUUAUUAACUUUUAAAUAUUGCUAAAAUGUGACACUCUGUAAUUUCUGUGUCCUUUGUUUUUCAUAUUUCUAGAGUGAGGGGAGACCAAGGAGUUGAGAAUGUUCACAUUGCUCGAUACAUGUUUGAAGUUCGGGGCUGUGGUAGAGGAAGCUUUAUGUCUGGCAAAAGCAUGCAUAACCAAAGGUAUUCCUAAUUUACAACAAAAACAUAUUUUUGAUUGCCAGGUGUAGUAUUCUGGCGUUAAUUAUUGAAUGUGUUAUUAACAAAAUUACGUUUAAAACUGAAUUACUGUGUUACUUCAAAUUAUAACAAGUUCCCAUAACAUUUUGUUUGCACAGAAUGCUUGGAAAUUAUUUCAUUUUAUGAGGAUGAAUGUCACUGUAUAGUGAUUUAAAAAAAAAUAAAUGUUUUUUUUGUUUUCUUUUGUUUUAAAGGAUAGAGCGCCUGUGGCGUGACGUUUGGAAUGUUGUCACCAACAUCUACUACGAUCUUCUUCACAGACUUGAGGAAGACAGACUCUUGGAUCCAACAAACUGUACUGACCUUUUUUGUGCACAGUAUGUGUUUUUGCCACGAAUCCAAGCAGAUUUGGAGACGUUUAUUGAAGGCUGGAACAAUCACUCUCUUAGGACAGAGCGGAACUACACCCCAAACCAACUAUGGGAGAUUGGAAAGACUCAGAAUCCAGUCAAUCCUCCUGAAAGUAUUGUGGUAUGAUUACACAUCUCUAAAUUCUUCAAAUCGCUUUUUUGAAAAAAAAAAAAAUAUGUAUAUCAUUGACAAAAUUAAUAAAGCAUGUAUUUUAAAGACUUCCUGAAUUGAUGGGGUCUAAUUUCAGGCAGAGUAUCCAGAUGUGGACAUUGCAGACUUGGACCAAACUGGUAUUCACCUUCCAGAACUUGUGUCUCCACUUGACAGUGAGGAUUUGGAAAGAGUGAGACACCUUUUCAAUCCCAUGGAACCCUCUAUGUCCUAUGGGGCUAACAUUUACAGUUCCCUUGUCCAGUAUGUGGAAGGCAUUCUUGAGAACAGGCAGGAUUUAUAGCUUUAUCUAGAGUGAUGGUUGAAAAUAAGAUGCCCUAACAGAUGUUUACAUUAUGUUGAAUUAUCAGUUUUUGUAUCCAAGGACAGUUACUAAAAGUCUGCAUCAAUAUUUAUUUUCAGUUUUUAAUGUUAAUACAUUUUGUGUUAGAUGAGUUUACAGUUAUAUUUUCCUGAUAAUCUGUCAGUUAAUGCAAAGGUAACAUGAUAAAUGCUUUCUGUUCUCAUGUAAGUCCUUUGUUUAAUAAUAGCUUCAAUAAAAUUUUGUUUAGGUGCCAUCAUGCCUAUUCUUGCUGAUUUCUAUUUUUAUUUAAUUGUAAAGGCAAUAUUCAAUGAAUCAACUUUAUUUACAGUCUGACAAGAAUUUUUUUCUUAACUUUGAUGGAGUGGCGACCAGUCUAGAAUGUAACUUGUCCUAUAACUGCUGCUCCAAAUCCAUGUCCUUGACAACUUCUGGAUUUUAAUUUGGGGUGUUCAAGCAUAUUUCCUUUGAUUUACAAAAUGAUUUCAAACAACCUCAAAAAUAAUCAGGAAAGUUAUCAUCCAAUUUUCAUAGCUCAAAACUUGACUUUAUUGAUAACAGCUUGAAAGUGACAAAAACCUCUCAUGACUGUAGAACUGUAAUGUUUUGAUGUGUGUUAGCUGUCCUGCAUGCAGUAAUUAAAUAGCUUGACCACAGCUGACAGUGUGGCAGAUUUUUAUUAUCAUUAUAUUCAACAGCAUUGGACUGUGUGUAACAUUUAAUACAGCUUUAGUAUUAAUCUACUUUUUUCACCUCUUGUAAUCCAUGAAACUGCUUCAAACAAAGAGAUGAUGUGAAUCGGAUGCAUGAUAAUGACUUUAAGUUAACAAAACAACCCUAAACACAAUCAUUAGUUCCUUAACUUCAAAUAUACACUGUUAGACUUUUCAUCUCCACUUUACGGUAACAUACUGGCGUCACUGUUGCCAGCGUCAUACCGUGACGCCGUAUUACUGUAGCUUACCGUUGUGCAGGAUGAUACCGUUUUUUGCUGUUGUGGUAUAAUACUCUUGGACAAAUUAUGGUAACGCACUGUAGCUUUUUUUAUGUCGUUAUGUCGUAAAUUACGUCAACAAAGUAACAUCAUACUGUGAUUAAGAAAUUGGUAUACUACCGUUUAUUCACGGUAUGUCACUGUAAGCCCGCUACAAGGUAAUAAACUGCAAUAUAUUUACCAUUAACUUACCGUUAUCACGCAUCAUCAGUACCAAAAAUAUUAAUCUCUGCUAGAGGAUACCGUGUUCCUACAGGCGGUCAUUUACUGUUUAAC
ensembl:lncRNA